rnacentral:rRNA from 1 species
GAUGAACGCUGGCGGCGUGCUUAACACAUGCAAGUCGAACGAUGAAGCCCAGCUUGCUGGGUGGAUUAGUGGCGAACGGGUGAGUAACACGCGAGUAACCUGCCCUUGACUCUGGGAUAAGCCUGGGAAACUGGGUCUAAUACUGGAUAUGACUUCUCAUCGCAUGGUGGGGGGUGGAAAGAUUUAUUGGUCUUGGAUGGACUAGCGGCCUAUCAGCUUGUUGGUGAGUAAAUGGCUCACCAAGGCGACGACGGGUAGCCGGCCUGAGAGGGUGACCGGCCACACUGGGACUGAGACACGGCCCAGACUCCUACGGGAGGCAGCAGUCGGGAAUAUUGCACAAUGGGCGCAAGCCUGAUGCAGCGACGCCGCGUGAGGGAUGACGGCCUUCGGGUUGUAAACCUCUUUCAAUAGGGAAGAAGCGAGAGUGACGGUACCUGCAGAAGAAGCGCCGGCUAACUACGUG